rnacentral:lncRNA from 1 species
UGCUUUUUUCUCUUUCCCUCGCUCUUUAUUGUUUGAUUAGUAUGAUCUUUUAUGCUUUUGUAUUUUUUGUUGUUUUAUUUUUGUUGAAGUGUUGUAUGGUAAUUCUCCAGAACAUUCUUGCUGUUAUCUACUAGGGUGUUACAGUUGGUAACUCAAUUUCGUGUGGCAAAAUCUUGGCUCACUUUAAAAUUUGACAUAUUUGCGCUUGUAGGAUAGGAGUUGGGCCUUUUUAGGCACUCCCAAUGCUUUCUAUACCUAUUAAUUUCUAUAGACACUAUGUAUAGAAACUAUGCUUCCAAUAAAUAGUUUCUAUACAAUAAUUUGUUAUCUAAUCAUAUUCAUUCUCUCUCCAUUCUUAACCAAUCAUAUCACUUUAUGUCUUGGAUUUCGCGUAGACAUGGUUUCUAAGUUAGAUCCAGUUUCUAUGAUUUUUGCUCUCUAUCUUCAAUAACUACCUUGCCACAUCAGCAAAAUGCUUAGGUGACACCAUAAUUAAUGUGUAUAGAAACUAUGGUGGUUUCUGCAUUGAGAGUGCCCUUAUUCUCAUUGCAAUGUCUUGCCAUGCU